rnacentral:rRNA from 1 species
AACCCUACGGGACGCAGCAGUAGGGAAUUUUCGUCAAUGGGCGCAAGCCUGAACAGGCGAUGCCGCGUGAGUGAAGAAGGCCUUCGGGUCGUAAAGCUCUGUUGCGGGGGAAAAAAGGCAGCGUCAGGAAAUGGGUGCUGAUUGAUGUUGCCCCGCCAGAAAGUCACGGCUAACUACGUGCCAGCAGCCGCGGGAAUACGUAGGUGGCGAGCGUUAUCCGGAAUGAUUGGGCGUAAAGGGUGCGCAGGCGG